UAGGGAAUCUUCGGCAAUGGGGGGAACCCUGACCGAGCAACGCCGCGUGAGUGAAGAAGGUUUUCGGAUCGUAAAGCUCUGUUGUUAAGGAAGAACGAGUGUGAGAAUGGAAAGUUCAUGCUGUGACGGUACUUAACCAGAAAGGGACGGCUAACUACGUGCCAGCAGCCGCGGUAAUACGUAGGUCCCGAGCGUUGUCCGGAUUUAUUGGGCGUAAAGCGAGCGCAGGCGGUUAGAAAAGUCUGAAGUGAAAGGCAGUGGCUCAACCAUUGUAGGCUUUGGAAACUGUUUAACUUGAGUGCAGAAGGGGAGAGUGGAAUUCCAUGUGUAGCGGUGAAAUGCGUAGAUAUAUGGAGGAACACCGGUGGCGAAAGCGGCUCUCUGGUCUGUAACUGACGCUGAGGCUCGAAAGCGUGGGGUGCGAACAGG
rnacentral:rRNA from 1 species